rnacentral:sRNA from 1 species
CACCACUGCAAGAGGGGAAGUUGCUACUGUGAUGAAUUCUGCCAUGUGGCACCAGACUGCCACCCAGACCACAGUGUCCUCUGCAACCCUGCUUCUCAGAUGACCAAGAUGGUGCUGCAGAUGGUGCUGAGGAUGGAGAACCCACCAAGCCCCGCUAGGAGCCACCUAGACUGGAUGCAGAGCAUGGAUUCUGGAUGUAUACAGAUGCUCUUCAUCUUAGGAAGGGGUUACGUCCCAAUAAACACGUGGCUAAAACCUUUGAAGAAGAAUUUAUUAUAUCCUACAAACCUGGGAGGCAGAGGUUGCAGUGAGCCAAGAUUGGGCCAUCGCACUCCAGCCUGGGCAAUAAGAAUGAAACUCUGUCUCAAAAAAAACAAAAGUUGGCCAGGGCUGGGCGUGGUGGCUCACACCUGUAAUCCCAGCACUUUGGGGGGCUAAAGCAGGUGGAUCACCUGAGGUCAGAAGUACGAGACCAUCAUGGCUAAUAUGGUGAAACCCCAUCUCUAC